UAUGUCAUAUUAACUAUAAGCCAUGUCAUCAAUCUUGAUAGCCAUGUCAUCAUUUUUUUGUAAAAAUGAUUAUAGAAAAGAGAUGUGGCAAAAUUACUUCGCAAAUAUAGUUUAGGGGAUAUCAAACUUCACACGAAUAAAGCGGAAACUUCAACUGGGGCUCGGUUAUUGUCGACUGGGGCUCUCCAAUGGUGUGUAUGUUGGAUGAAGGUUCUGAUGAGUGUGUGUGGCUUGUUGGAUGAGAUCUCGGUGGUCAGGCGAUGAAGAUGUAGGCCUGAAGUGGUGUUGCCCUAGCUCUGGUUCUGUUCCCGGUGUUUUUCCGGACAUGCCCCGUGGAGUUACGGUGGCGAUUUGCACGCUGGUGAAGACGGUGGCGAUUUGCAGGUAGGUGAAGAUGGUGGUGUUGUUUCCAAGCACAUGUCCCAUCUCUCUCGUGUGAUUGACACGUCAAUUCGUAGUCACUGAGUUAUCUUUAGACUUGGGUUUGAUUUGGGCUGGUAUUGAGCCUUAGUAGUGUUGUUGUAGGCCUUGUUUGUUUGGGUCUUGUUGUCCAUUUGUUUUGGGCUUUUCUUUUGUAAUAAACUUUGUUUAAUAUAAAAUACUAGUUGGCAAA
rnacentral:lncRNA from 1 species